CAGCAGUAGGGAAUCUUCCGCAAUGGGCGAAAGCCUGACGGAGCAACGCCGCGUGAGUGAUGAAGGUCUUCGGAUCGUAAAACUCUGUUAUUAGGGAAGAACAUAUGUGUAAGUAACUGUGCACAUCUUGACGGUACCUAAUCAGAAAGCCACGGCUAACUACGUGCCAGCAGCCGCGGUAAUACGUAGGUGGCAAGCGUUAUCCGGAAUUAUUGGGCGUAAAGCGCGCGUAGGCGGUUUUUUAAGUCUGAUGUGAAAGCCCACGGCUCAACCGUGGAGGGUCAUUGGAAACUGGAAAACUUGAGUGCAGAAGAGGAAAGUGGAAUUCCAUGUGUAGCGGUGAAAUGCGCAGAGAUAUGGAGGAACACCAGUGGCGAAGGCGACUUUCUGGUCUGUAACUGACGCUGAUGUGCGAAAGCGUGGGGAUCAAACAGGAUUAGA
rnacentral:rRNA from 1 species